rnacentral:misc_RNA from 1 species
AAGUCGUAACAAGGUUUCCGUAGGUGAACCUGCGGAAGGAUCAUUAAAAAAUUCAAAAACCAUAAGGGUUUCUUUCCUUACUUCUUUAUGGAAUAAGGAGAGAGCUCAUAUGAACCUUGUGUGCACUGUUAUAACGUCUUGACGUUUUUUGAAGUUUUCCGGUGGUUUAAAGUUGAUAUGAAAAUAUCAACCCGCCGGGAAGUAGAGAAAUCGUCACUUUAUAUAAAACCCUUAUUAUUAUAGCCUUGACUGAAGUUAAAUCUAUGCAAUUUAUUUUGUAUAGAAGAAUUUUGUAAAAUUAAAAUACAACUUUCAACAACGGAUCUCUUGGCUCUC